rnacentral:rRNA from 1 species
CACGUAGGGUGCGAGCGUUGUCCGGAAUUAUUGGGCGUAAAGAGCUCGUAGGCGGUGUGUCGCGUCGGCCGUGAAAACCUGCAGCUUAACUGUGGGCUUGCGGUCGAUACGGGCAUCACUGGAGUUCGGCAGGGGAGACUGGAAUUCCUGGUGUAGCGGUGAAAUGCGCAGAUAUCAGGAGGAACACCGGUGGCGAAAGCGGCGCACUGGACCAUAACUGACGCUGAGAAGCGAAAGCAUGGGGAGCGAACAGG